UAAUAUCAGGACGGCUACCGUGAAAAUCGAAAAUCGUCAAUUGCGGGCAUUUUUCUCUGUCACUCUAAUUACGUCUUCAUUGGAGUAAAAGAGAAAGAUCCCCGCAAUUUGAGAAUUUCUGUUUUCACGGUAGCCCCUCAGGUGUCACUCAUACAAUAAAAGUUUCGAUAAUUUCAUUAGUGUCAGCUUUCGUGAAUCAACCUGUAAUUUUAGGCUAAUGAAUUGCAGCUUCUUAACUAUUUUCUCGAUGAGUAUUAGUUUCCUGCGGCAAGAAAAUACAGUCAGCGAUAAAAGCUUGUACUAAAAAUGAAAUUUUUGUCUAAAACUUAUUUAUUACAUAACACCGCAUGCUACAUAGGUACAUAAAGGUCAUAAUAGCGUAGCUUAGCACUGUCAGAAAAAGUAUUAUAUCUUAAGAUCUUCACUUUGUUCUAGCACACGUUCUUGAAAAUAUGCACACCUCUAGUGUAAUUAAUUAUUAAAUAAUUUGAAAACACCAGGGUGAACAUUCGAUUUCUAAAGUUCAAUAAGUUACAGUCGAUCAAAGACCUAAUUGCAAAAUGAUAAUUGAUGUAAAGACAAUCAUAACAAGAAUUUCGUCGAAAGUAAAAAUAUACACAACUGUAAAAGGACAUAAAAUACUUACGAUGAAAUUGCCAUUGGUCUCUUGUUACUUAAAACAACAACAAAAAUGUCUAAUUAAUAAUCUCAAGCAAUUAAUUACCUCCAACGUACUUAUUUCAUAACUGAGAUUCAUAUUUUGUUAAAACUUACUCCGUGUAAAGCUUUUCCAUCGCGCAAUGAUCGAAUUUCAACCGGGUGAAAUAAUUACUGAUAGUCAACUAAAUACUAAUGAGUAUUCAAUGAUUCGUGGAGUAUUUAGGUACUUGUACAUUUAUAUGAAUCUAUGAGCUCACGAACGAUAUGUGAUUUUGUUUUUAUUUUUAAGACUAACCGAUACUCGCACAAGCCGCUAAUAAGAUAACGGAGUACAGUCGUCGUCAAAGACAUGUUUACAUUUUUCGUCUUAUUACAAAGGCAUAAGGUGCAAAAGUGUAAACAUCAUAUCUUUGACGUCGAUUUUACAUGAAUCUUUAUUUUUUGAAGAGGAUACGUUUUCUGAUUAGACCUACCUAGAGUUCAGAAUAUAGCUCGUCACUUCAGAAGAUAUAAAGGCAAAUGUGAUUUAUCGUAACUAUAUAAUUUAGGUUUUUUUGAAUUGUUAUUGCAUGUUUUGUUGAAAAAUCCAGCCAGUUAGACACUUAGAUCCGUAACAGGGAGUUGUGCAAUUGUGGACACAUGAGGGGGACUUAGAUCAUUAGUAUAAUAUUCAUUAGGAUACCAGUGCUGCGUGCUGGUCAACCAAUCUGAUUAUAGUCUUGCGACCGAUUGCGGAUAUUAGGUAUUAAGAAAAAAAUAUGUAUGACGUUUCCAGAACUAUGUGGCCAUGACCCAACCUUCCCUUAUUUUAGUAUAGCACAAUUAUUUAACUACGAGCAGGACAAGUUGGAUUAUUUCUAAGUCAACUUUGACUUUGGAUUAUUAUUCAAUAAAGUAUCCAAUCCACGUAUAUUUAUACUUACUGUUGUAUCUCCGACAUAUCUGCAGCUUUUUAAAGGAGUAUUUUACAUAACGUUAGUUAUUUAUAAUUUAGGUCUCCUUUUAUUAUUUGGUCCAUAACCUUUUUUCUCUUCUUAAAUGUUGGCUUGGCAAGUGGUUGUUUGCUAAAAAAAGUCAUAACUACAAAAAAUAAUAUGUCACAAAACAGGUCAAGUUCUACCUAAGUAACAUUAGUUGUAUAAGUUUAACAAAUCAUGACUUAAAAUAUUCUACUUCGAGUAAAACUUGUGUACAUAGUUAUCAGAAUAAAACAUACUAAAGGUACCUAGUCUUAAGUUAAUUAAAUGUAAGACAAGUAAAUGGAAUACUAUUUACCCUUUGAAAUUACGAAUUAGUUAGCAAAUAUUGAUUUUCUUCAAAGAUUUUUCUAUUUAAUAAAAUGUAUAUAAAGAAACAAGGAAAUAAAAUUUCAAAUAUC